GUUUAGACGGGCUCACAUCACCCCAUAAACA
rnacentral:piRNA from 1 species